UCCGUCGAGUCGAUCAAGAAUGGU
rnacentral:siRNA from 1 species